AGUUUAAAGAAAAAUAUUCUAAAUAAAUUCUGCUCAAUGAAAUUAAUUAAAUAGCCGCAGUAAAUUAACUGUGCUAAGGUAGCAUAAUAAUUAGUUUUUUAAUUAAAAACUAGAAUGAAAGAGAAAAUGAAAAAUUAACUUUUUAAUUAUAAUAAAUAAAUAUAAAUUAAUUUAUAAGUUAAAAAUCUUAUAUAAAAUAAAAAGACAAGAAGACCCUUUAGAAUUUUAUAAAUAAAAAAAUUUAAUAAUUAUAAAUUUGAAUAUUUAUUAAGUUGGGGAGACUAUGAAAUAUUAAAAACUUUCACUUUUUUAAAACAAAAAUAAAUGAAUCUAUAAAUAUCCAGUUAACAGCCGAAUAAAAAACAAAUUACCUAAGGGAUAACAGCGUAAAAUUUCUAAAAAGAUCAAAUUUACAGAAUAAAUUACGACCUCGAUGUUGGAUUAAGAAAAAAUUAUAAAGAAGAAUUUAUAAAAAUUAGGUCUGUUCGACCUUUAAUCUCUU
rnacentral:rRNA from 1 species